rnacentral:rRNA from 1 species
UGAGGAAUAUUGGUCAAUGGGCGAGAGCCUGAACCAGCCAAGUAGCGUGCAGGAAGACGGCCCUAUGGGUUGUAAACUGCUUUUAUGUGGGGAUAAAGUGCGCGACGUGUCGUGCAUUGCAGGUACCACAUGAAUAAGGACCGGCUAAUUCCGUGCCAGCAGCCGCGGUAAUACGGAAGGUCCGGGCGUUAUCCGGAUUUAUUGGGUUUAAAGGGAGCGUAGGCUGUCUAUUAAGCGUGUUGUGAAAUUUACCGGCUCAACCGGUGGCUUGCAGCGCGAACUGGUCGACUUGAGUAUGCAGGAAGUAGGCGGAAUUCAUGGUGUAGCGGUGAAAUGCUUAGAUAUCAUGACGAACUCCGAUUGCGCAGGCAGCUUACUGUAGCAUAACUGACGCUGAUGCUCGAAAGUGCGGGUAUCAAACAGG